rnacentral:rRNA from 1 species
AGAGCGAACGCUGGCGGCAGGCUUAACACAUGCAAGUCGAGCGGGCGUAGCAAUGCGUCAGCGGCAGACGGGUGAGUAACGCGUGGGAACGUACCUUUUGGUUCGGAACAACCCAGGGAAACUUGGGCUAAUACCGGAUAAGCCCUUACGGGGAAAGAUUUAUCGCCGAAAGAUCGGCCCGCGUCUGAUUAGCUAGUUGGUGAGGUAAUGGCUCACCAAGGCGACGAUCAGUAGCUGGUCUGAGAGGAUGAUCAGCCACAUUGGGACUGAGACACGGCCCAAACUCCUACGGGAGGCAGCAGUGGGGAAUAUUGGACAAUGGGCGCAAGCCUGAUCCAGCCAUGCCGCGUGAGUGAUGAAGGCCCUAGGGUUGUAAAGCUCUUUUGUGCGGGAAGAUAAUGACGGUACCGCAAGAAUAAGCCCGGCUAACUUCGCGCCAGCAGCCGC